GGGUUGUGAGGUUAAGCGACUAAGCGUACACGGUGGAUGCCCUGGCAGUCAGAGGCGAUGAAGGACGUGCUAAUCUGCGAUAAGCGUCGGUAAGGUGAUAUGAACCGUUAUAACCGGCGAUUUCCGAAUGGGGAAACCCAGUGUGUUUCGACACACUAUCAUUAACUGAAUCCAUAGGUUAAUGAGGCGAACCGGGGAACUGAAACAUCUAAGUACCCCGAGGAAAAGAAAUCAACCGAGAUUCCCCCAGUAGCGGCGAGCGAACGGGGAGCAGCCCAGAGCCUGAAUCAGUGUGUGUGUUAGUGGAAGCGUCUGGAAAGGCGCGCGAUACAGGGUGACAGCCCCGUACACAAAAAUGCACAUGCUGUGAGCUCGAUGAGUAGGGCGGGACACGUGGUAUCCUGUCUGAAUAUGGGGGGACCAUCCUCCAAGGCUAAAUACUCCUGACUGACCGAUAGUGAACCAGUACCGUGAGGGAAAGGCGAAAAGAACCCCGGCGAGGGGAGUGAAAAAGAACCUGAAACCGUGUACGUACAAGCAGUGGGAGCACGCUUAGGCGUGUGACUGCGUACCUUUUGUAUAAUGGGUCAGCGACUUAUAUUCUGUAGCAAGGUUAACCGAAUAGGGGAGCCGAAGGGAAACCGAGUCUUAACUGGGCGUUAAGUUGCAGGGUAUAGACCCGAAACCCGGUGAUCUAGCCAUGGGCAGGUUGAAGGUUGGGUAACACUAACUGGAGGACCGAACCGACUAAUGUUGAAAAAUUAGCGGAUGACUUGUGGCUGGGGGUGAAAGGCCAAUCAAACCGGGAGAUAGCUGGUUCUCCCCGAAAGCUAUUUAGGUAGCGCCUCGUGAAUUCAUCUCCGGGGGUAGAGCACUGUUUCGGCAAGGGGGUCAUCCCGACUUACCAACCCGAUGCAAACUGCGAAUACCGGAGAAUGUUAUCACGGGAGACACACGGCGGGUGCUAACGUCCGUCGUGAAGAGGGAAACAACCCAGACCGCCAGCUAAGGUCCCAAAGUCAUGGUUAAGUGGGAAACGAUGUGGGAAGGCCCAGACAGCCAGGAUGUUGGCUUAGAAGCAGCCAUCAUUUAAAGAAAGCGUAAUAGCUCACUGGUCGAGUCGGCCUGCGCGGAAGAUGUAACGGGGCUAAACCAUGCACCGAAGCUGCGGCAGCGACACUAUGUGUUGUUGGGUAGGGGAGCGUUCUGUAAGCCUGUGAAGGUGUGCUGUGAGGCAUGCUGGAGGUAUCAGAAGUGCGAAUGCUGACAUAAGUAACGAUAAAGCGGGUGAAAAGCCCGCUCGCCGGAAGACCAAGGGUUCCUGUCCAACGUUAAUCGGGGCAGGGUGAGUCGACCCCUAAGGCGAGGCCGAAAGGCGUAGUCGAUGGGAAACAGGUUAAUAUUCCUGUACUUGGUGUUACUGCGAAGGGGGGACGGAGAAGGCUAUGUUGGCCGGGCGACGGUUGUCCCGGUUUAAGCGUGUAGGCUGGUUUUCCAGGCAAAUCCGGAAAAUCAAGGCUGAGGCGUGAUGACGAGGCACUACGGUGCUGAAGCAACAAAUGCCCUGCUUCCAGGAAAAGCCUCUAAGCAUCAGGUAACAUCAAAUCGUACCCCAAACCGACACAGGUGGUCAGGUAGAGAAUACCAAGGCGCUUGAGAGAACUCGGGUGAAGGAACUAGGCAAAAUGGUGCCGUAACUUCGGGAGAAGGCACGCUGAUAUGUAGGUGAAGUCCCUCGCGGAUGGAGCUGAAAUCAGUCGAAGAUACCAGCUGGCUGCAACUGUUUAUUAAAAACACAGCACUGUGCAAACACGAAAGUGGACGUAUACGGUGUGACGCCUGCCCGGUGCCGGAAGGUUAAUUGAUGGGGUUAGCCGCAAGGCGAAGCUCUUGAUCGAAGCCCCGGUAAACGGCGGCCGUAACUAUAACGGUCCUAAGGUAGCGAAAUUCCUUGUCGGGUAAGUUCCGACCUGCACGAAUGGCGUAAUGAUGGCCAGGCUGUCUCCACCCGAGACUCAGUGAAAUUGAACUCGCUGUGAAGAUGCAGUGUACCCGCGGCAAGACGGAAAGACCCCGUGAACCUUUACUAUAGCUUGACACUGAACAUUGAGCCUUGAUGUGUAGGAUAGGUGGGAGGCUUUGAAGUGUGGACGCCAGUCUGCAUGGAGCCGACCUUGAAAUACCACCCUUUAAUGUUUGAUGUUCUAACGUUGACCCGUAAUCCGGGUUGCGGACAGUGUCUGGUGGGUAGUUUGACUGGGGCGGUCUCCUCCUAAAGAGUAACGGAGGAGCACGAAGGUUGGCUAAUCUGGUCGGACAUCAGGAGGUUAGUGCAAUGGCAUAAGCCAGCUUGACUGCGAGCGUGACGGCGCGAGCAGGUGCGAAAGCAGGUCAUAGUGAUCCGGUGGUUCUGAAUGGAAGGGCCAUCGCUCAACGGAUAAAAGGUACUCCGGGGAUAACAGGCUGAUACCGCCCAAGAGUUCAUAUCGACGGCGGUGUUUGGCACCUCGAUGUCGGCUCAUCACAUCCUGGGGCUGAAGUAGGUCCCAAGGGUAUGGCUGUUCGCCAUUUAAAGUGGUACGCGAGCUGGGUUUAGAACGUCGUGAGACAGUUCGGUCCCUAUCUGCCGUGGGCGCUGGAGAACUGAGGGGGGCUGCUCCUAGUACGAGAGGACCGGAGUGGACGCAUCACUGGUGUUCGGGUUGUCAUGCCAAUGGCACUGCCCGGUAGCUAAAUGCGGAAGAGAUAAGUGCUGAAAGCAUCUAAGCACGAAACUUGCCCCGAGAUGAGUUCUCCCUGACUCCUUGAGAGUCCUGAAGGAACGUUGAAGACGACGACGUUGAUAGGCCGGGUGUGUAAGCGCAGCGAUGCGUUGAGCUAACCGGUACUAAUGAACCGUGAGGCUUAACCUUACAACGCCGAAGCUGUU
rnacentral:rRNA from 1 species